AUUGAACGCUGGCGGCAUGCUUUACACAUGCAAGUCGAACGGUAACAGGCCGCAAGGUGCUGACGAGUGGCGAACGGGUGAGUAAUGCAUCGGAACGUGCCCAGUCGUGGGGGAUAACGCAGCGAAAGCUGUGCUAAUACCGCAUACGAUCUAUGGAUGAAAGCGGGGGACCGUAAGGCCUCGCGCGAUUGGAGCGGCCGAUGUCAGAUUAGGUAGUUGGUGGGGUAAAGGCUCACCAAGCCAACGAUCUGUAGCUGGUCUGAGAGGACGACCAGCCACACUGGGACUGAGACACGGCCCAGACUCCUACGGGAGGCAG
rnacentral:rRNA from 1 species